rnacentral:rRNA from 1 species
UACAGAGGGUGCAAGCGUUAAUCGGAAUUACUGGGCGUAAAGCGUGCGUAGACGGUUAUGUAAGUCAGAUGUGAAAGCCCCGGGCUCAACCUGGGAAUGGCAUUUGAGACUGCAUAGCUAGGAUGCGGAAGAGGGAAGUGGAAUUUCCGGUGUAGCGGUGAAAUGCGUAGAUAUCGGAAGGAACAUCAGUGGCGAAAGCGACUUCCUGGUCCAGCAUCGACGUUCAGGCACGAAAGCGUGGGGAGCAAACAGGG